UGGGGCUCAAGGGAAGAGAACUCACUUUCAAACCAGCAGUCAGUAUGGCUAUCUGUUCUAUGGAUGUUGUGGCCCUACUUUGUCCAAUGCAUUCCCAAGUCCAAUGUUAAGUGCUUCCUGCCUCUUCUGCAGGACUUUAAAAUAUCCAUUCCCCAUCCAAGACAAGAUUGCUAUGGAAGAACCAGCAGGAACAGGUGGAGAGGCCCUGUUCCACGUGAGAUGUCAGAGAUCAGAUGCAAGAGGCCAGCAUGGAGUGGGAACUUCACGUGAGACUUCUGAUCAGUCACAGGUGGGAAGCUUCAGUUGUAGCUGUGUAUGGCCACUUGAGCUCCUUCAACUCGAAAAGGAUGGAAAUGAGUUUUAUAAGGUGAUUCGUGGAAGAUAGUUUUUCCAAAAUUUCAUGGGGAUGGAACCAUGGCACGAGGAAAAGCAAGUUCUCUGCACCAGUGUAGAAGAGGGAUAAAUCUGUAGGAGAAUAAAGCAUCGUGUGUUCUGUUCCUCUGAGAACAGCUUGUUUUCUCAGAGCUCUGUUCCUUCGUAUGGGAGAGCUUUAUCAACACAAAGAAA
rnacentral:lncRNA from 1 species